rnacentral:lncRNA from 1 species
UGGGAGAAGCCUCUGCUGCACACCUCUGUUUGGAACCUGGGCAGAGCAGGAGGUAAGGCAAAGGCAGGCAGGCACCAAGAACCAGACCCCUUGAGAAGGCGCUGUGGGUGGGUCUUUGUUCUGCUGUUCUGCCUUUCCUGACAGGUGGGGUUGGGGCACACAGACAUUGGAAUAUUUGUACUGCUCUCGUGCCAUUUGAGAGGCUGCUGCCCCAGGCAGGCCAGCCCCUACUCCUCUUGGCUACACUCAUGUUGCUCAGACUAUAUUUCAAAUAAAAAAAUCUUCUCACCAUGAAAAAAAAA